GAUGAACGCUGGCGGCGUGCCUAAUACAUGCAAGUCGAGCGAACGGACGAGAAGCUUGCUUCUCUGAUGUUAGCGGCGGACGGGUGAGUAACACGUGGAUAACCUACCUAUAAGACUGGGAUAACUUCGGGAAACCGGAGCUAAUACCGGAUAAUAUUUUGAACCGCAUGGUUCAAAAGUGAAAGACGGUCUUGCUGUCACUUAUAGAUGGAUCCGCGCUGCAUUAGCUAGUUGGUAAGGUAACGGCUUACCAAGGCAACGAUGCAUAGCCGACCUGAGAGGGUGAUCAGCCACACUGGAACUGAGACACGGUCCAGACUCCUACGGGAGGCAGCAGUAGGGAAUCUUCCGCAAUGGGCGAAAGCCUGACGGAGCAACGCCGCGUGAGUGAUGAAGGUCUUCGGAUCGUAAAACUCUGUUAUUAGGGAAGAACAUAUGUGUAAGUAACUGUGCACAUCUUGACGGUACCUAAUCAGAAAGCCACGGCUAACUACGUGCCAGCAGCCGCGGUAAUACGUAGGUGGCAAGCGUUAUCCGGAAUUAUUGGGCGUAAAGCGCGCGUAGGCGGUUUUUUAAGUCUGAUGUGAAAGCCCACGGCUCAACCGUGGAGGGUCAUUGGAAACUGGAAAACUUGAGUGCAGAAGAGGAAAGUGGAAUUCCAUGUGUAGCGGUGAAAUGCGCAGAGAUAUGGAGGAACACCAGUGGCGAAGGCGACUUUCUGGUCUGUAACUGACGCUGAUGUGCGAAAGCGUGGGGAUCAAACAGGAUUAGAUACCCUGGUAGUCCACGCCGUAAACGAUGAGUGCUAAGUGUUAGGGGGUUUCCGCCCCUUAGUGCUGCAGCUAACGCAUUAAGCACUCCGCCUGGGGAGUACGACCGCAAGGUUGAAACUCAAAGGAAUUGACGGGGACCCGCACAAGCGGUGGAGCAUGUGGUUUAAUUCGAAGCAACGCGAAGAACCUUACCAAAUCUUGACAUCCUUUGACAACUCUAGAGAUAGAGCCUUCCCCUUCGGGGGACAAAGUGACAGGUGGUGCAUGGUUGUCGUCAGCUCGUGUCGUGAGAUGUUGGGUUAAGUCCCGCAACGAGCGCAACCCUUAAGCUUAGUUGCCAUCAUUAAGUUGGGCACUCUAAGUUGACUGCCGGUGACAAACCGGAGGAAGGUGGGGAUGACGUCAAAUCAUCAUGCCCCUUAUGAUUUGGGCUACACACGUGCUACAAUGGACAAUACAAAGGGCAGCGAAACCGCGAGGUCAAGCAAAUCCCAUAAAGUUGUUCUCAGUUCGGAUUGUAGUCUGCAACUCGACUACAUGAAGCUGGAAUCGCUAGUAAUCGUAGAUCGGCAUGCUACGGUGAAUACGUUCCCGGGUCU
rnacentral:rRNA from 1 species